GCCCGCUUGGCUAAGUGGUAUAGCGUGUCACUAGUAUUUAGAUGUCAUGACAAGAUCAGCGGUUCGAUUCCGCUAGUGGGCA
rnacentral:tRNA from 1 species